rnacentral:misc_RNA from 1 species
AAACAAUUUAACUGAAAGCAUAUCGAUAUCCUGCUCCAUCAUUACAAAAGGAAUGGUUUACGUUAUUACACACCAUUCAAAGUUUGCACUACAUUUAGUAAACAGGUUUAUUUUGCUUUUGUAUUUGAUUAAAAGUGAGUAGAUAUGGAUAAUUAUGUGGAAAGUGAAUUUAGAAAUAUCAUGUUUUACCAAAUAGCCGUUAUUUGGUAGUCGUUAUUGGUCAAGUGGAAUAUCUGAGGAAAGUCAAUAGAAAAUGCGUACCAACUCCCAAACAGCUUCGCGAUGCAAAGAUGUUCCACGCCAAUAAUCUCCCAGCCGGAUGGUGUCGAAGACGACUUCCACGACGACUGCAAGUCUUACUCCAACUUUAAACAAAAUUUGAUCGGUAACGAGUUUAAGCCGUAUUUGCGAGGAAAUUUGAUAUUGGGGGAUAUCAUCGUCGGAGGUCAUCUGAUUAUGCCGAAGCCAUGCAGAUUUACAAGAUAUCGACCUAUUCUAACCGGCGAGGAUGCUAAGGGUGGUGUCGCAAAGAGGCAAACGUUUCGGCCACGAUUUUAAGUGAUUGGUGAAGUCUACGGUGUAAAUACAACAACUGUACUUUAACGGCAGAUACCAAAAAUCGUAAAUGCUGUCUACGACGAGUAUCCUGCCAUAAAAAUUAUCAGGGCGGAUGCUGUGCGCGAAAAUAGCGGGUUGGAGAUGACAACAAAGAGAGAUAAAUUCUUAUGAAAUACGUUCUGAAAUUUUGUUUGAAAAAAAUACUAUAUGUAUGGUACUAAGUACAUAUUAUAUUAUACUGUGUUUGAAUUUCUUCAUAAUAAAUCAUGUAUUAUUGCUA